GCAGAAGCUAGUCUGCCUGGAACUUCUCCACUGAGAAAGAAAAAUGAUAUUUUUGUUCCAACUCAUUUCUGUUCUAGCAAUCAUCAAAGAUGUCCAAAUGGAGGUCCAACUGGUGGAAUCUGGAGGAGAUGUGAGAAGGCCAGGGGAGUCCCUCCAUCUCUCCUGCCAAGCUUCAGGCUUCACCUUCAGCAGCUAUGAGAUGGCCUGGGUGAGACAGGCUCCAGGGAAAGGACUGGAGUGGAUCCUAUUGGUGGAGUCUGGAGGGGAUCAUAGUAUUCACUACUCAGACAAAGUGAAGGGACGCUUCACCAUCUCCAGGGACAAUACCAAAAGCCAGCUGUAUCUGCAAAUGAACAGCCUCAAACCAGAGGACACCGCAGUCUAUUACUGUGCGAGAGACACAGUGAGAAGAAAUAAAUCUGAAGCCAGACAAGAACCUUCUCUUGCUCAGAGCAAGUGGAUUCAGUCACAGAAAUUUGAAUCUGAGUCUUUCAAAUUGAGGAGUAGAUUAUCAAUCUACAUCAUAGCAGUAGAAUAUUCCAUGGAUCAGUAG